rnacentral:rRNA from 1 species
GGCGAACGGGUGAGUAAUGUAUCGGAACGUGCCCAGUUGUGGGGGAUAACUGCUCGAAAGAGCAGCUAAUACCGCAUACGACCUGAGGGUGAAAGCGGGGGAUCGCAAGACCUCGCGCAAUUGGAGCGGCCGAUAUCAGAUUAGGUAGUUGGUGGGGUAAAGGCUCACCAAGCCGACGAUCUGUAGCUGGUCUGAGAGGACGACCAGCCACACUGGGACUGAGACACGGCCCAGACUCCUACGGGAGGCAGCAGUGGGGAAUUUUGGACAAUGGGCGCAAGCCUGAUCCAGCCAUGCCGCGCGCGGGAAGAAGGCCUUCGGGUUGUAAACCGCUUUUGUCAGGGAAGAAAAGGCUCCUG